UGAUUGAUUGCAUUAAUUUGUUUGAUAUGCGAUGAAACUGGUUUAUGAGUUAAUUGUUUGCAUUAAUUUGUUUGAUAUGCGAUGAAACUGGUUUAUGAGUUAAUUGUUUGCAUUAAUUUGUUCGAUAUGCGAUGAAUUUGUCUGUAUGUGUUGUGUUUGUAUAUUCCAGAUAUUGUUAGGUGUAUAUUGCAAAUAUUGUUAAUGUAGUUGGAAUUUAUAAGUAAUUAGAGGUGCACAUUGCAGAUUGUACUGCCUUCAACCAACUUUAAUUAGAGAGGCCUCUCUUAAUUUUACUGUGCUUAAUUUUCCAAGAAUUUUACACCUAUUUUCCCCCUGCAUAUAUACUCAGUUGCCUGCAUAUAAUUUCAUCUUUCCCCAAAAUGCAUUAUAUCUUUGCUGUCUUUUGAGCAUUUGAAGAGUACAUCUUUCACUAAAAGACCUUGAAAAAUAUCAGAUUGCAAAGGUCACCGAAGUGACAAUCCCCCCACCCUACUCAUCGAUGACAUAUUGGGAAUACUCUGCAUUCAAGAAUCCCAUUGCUUGUGCCCAGGGCUCAUGGUAGAUAAUUUGCCCGGUAGUGGUUAAAAUUUGGAGUGUAGUGAAAUAUGGCUUUCAGGCUUUUGUUUGUAAUUUCAGCUUUAGGCACUCCCAAACAUUCUUGACAACUAGAAAGUUUGAGCGAUGGGAAAGAUUUGAAUGACAGACAGUAGGCUGUGGAAGAGGUUAAACUCAGAGCCAUGGGUAUGAAAUUAAACCCAAAGUCUUGCUUAAACCGAUUAAAAGUAUAAAUUUAAAGUUGGAACAAAAAAGUGUCCUUUUUAGUUUUUUUAAAAACUCUGUAAGAAGCUUUUAGAAUACCAAAAACUUGUUUGAGUGACUUUUCUUAACUUAGUAGUGAUUGGUAUUUAUAUAUUUCAUUUUUGUAAGGUGUUUAGGUUCUGACUUUUUUUUUAAAAUAUAUAUAUAAUUUAAAGACAUGGAGACUAUUCUCUUUGAUUUUUACUGUAAUAUUUUCUUUGCCUUUCAUGCAGAUUUGUGUAACCUGAAUAUGUAAUGAUGCUUUUCACAUCCUGUACAAUUUUUUAACCGUUGCUGAUGCAUUUGAUAUCGAUUUUGUUGUGUCUCAACUCUAUGGCUCAACCAUGGUCUAGUAGUGGCUGAAGUCAAAGAGAACGAUCAAGACUUUGGUAGAAGUGACUAAGGUUGGGCUACUAUGUGGUUCGGACCAAGUGAUAUGGCUAGAGCAAAAGGGGACACAAUACUAGACAAGCAAGGGUAAGUGGUUUUUGUGUAGGAAUUUCAUACUCCGCACCAUUGUAAAUUGGCUCAUACUUCCGGGGAUUGAAGGCGGUAUCCCUGAGAAGGUGGUGUGUGCCAAGUGUGGAAGAAACUAGUUUGACGAAUCUAAACUAAGCUCAUCUAGGCACCAUUUUGCCCGAAUAUGCCCAAUAUUGUCCAAAAUAGCCCGUUUUGGUCCCAUGUAUCAUCUGACUUAAGUCUAUACAAAGCACUAAUUAUUAUAAUCUUUAAGGCCUAUUUAUGUU